UACGUAGGGUGCAAGCGUUGUCCGGAAUUAUUGGGCGUAAAGAGCUCGUAGGCGGUCUGUCGCGUCGGCUGUGAAAACCCGAGGCUCAACCUCGGGCCUGCAGUCGAUACGGGCAAACUAGAGUUCGGUAGGGGAGUCUGGAAUUCCUGGUGUAGCGGUGAAAUGCGCAGAUAUCAGGAGGAACACCGGUGGCGAAGGCAGGUCUCUGGGCCGAUACUGACGCUGAGGAGCGAAAGCGUGGGGAGCGAACAGG
rnacentral:rRNA from 1 species